UACGUAGGGGGCUAGCGUUGUCCGGAUUUAUUGGGCGUAAAGAGCUCGUAGGUGGUUCGGUAAGUCGGAUGUGAAAUCUCCAGGCUCAACCUGGAGGGGUCAUUCGAUACUGCCGUGACUAGAGUUCGGUAGAGGAGUGUGGAAUUCCUGGUGGAGCAGUGAAAUGCGCAGAGAUCAGGAGGAACACCCGUAGCGAAGGCGGCACUCUGGGCCGAUACUGACACUGAGGAGCGAAAGCGUGGGGAGCGAACAGG
rnacentral:rRNA from 1 species